GGGUGUCAUUCGGUUUAACGAGAGAAAUGAUCGUGAAAGAAUAUCUAACGGGGGUCAAGUAUUGCGAGACGAUCGUGAAAUCUCUGGUAACGGAUCGUGAAAGACAUUUAAUCGAGAAGACAUAUCAAAGGUCAUUAAAUAAUGUAAUUUAAUUCAUAACACAGACAAAUUUACAACAAAAUAAAACUGUCUGUCAAAAUG
rnacentral:lncRNA from 1 species